AAAGUCAUAUUAAGGAUGUACUUAGGUGAGGUUUUGGAAAUUGGUGUCAGAUGUUCGGACUCCUUGGAUUUUUUCCAUUAAUACAGGGUAAAAUAUUUUGACCCAUAACACACAUUUUUCUUUUCAUAAAAGACUUCAAUAGCUCAUAAAAGUCCAUUUUCCAAAAUUUAAGCAGGCAGGGAUUAAAAAAUCCACUAGCCCGACGCUUGGGACUAGAUCAUUUACGCCUCAAGCAAUUAAAAUGUGUAAUCCGAUAUGCCCGACGGACUAGUAACAAAAAAUUCUUGACGUUUCCAAAAUAGAAAGUGAAAAAUCCCUUCAUCACUAUUCUAUGUUAGCCAUUUCGAUUCAAUUAAGUCAUCCGGGAUUCCAAGAAUUUGAACUGGUUUGUACAGGUCCUGUUGUACAUAUUUUAAAAAUAGAACAAAUAACUCUGGCAUGUCUGGGUGGCCUGGUAUCAUGUGUUGAUUCUCGUACUUUAAAAAUCGAUUUCUCAUACCAUGGAUUGAGGUAUUGUACAUUGCUUAUUGUGCCGAGAUUUUCAAUUAACGUUAUUUGGGGGUAUGAUGUAUUGAUUGGUAUUGACAUUUCUUGUUGCACAGCUCUUGAGCACGAAACCAUGCAACAAAAUAUUUCUUAAUAUUUUAGUACGGGAACCCCAGGAACUUCGUCAGUUUCAAAACGAAAAACGGUAGACGAAAGGAGUAACGAGGCUGAAAAUUCAUCCCCCCAAAAUGCUAAAUACAACAGGGAGAAACCGCGGGAAAAAAAUAGUGUCCAGUACAGCAGGGCUGUCAAGUCUUUAGCGCGAGACUCACACAUGUUUCAUGCUUAUUUGGCGGCAUUUUCCUUUGAUCUAUUGUUUUUUCUCUUUGAUCUUUACAAUUUGGCCAACAAAUCACGCAUUCACUUCCUGAAAAGUUGGCAGAACUGGGACACAAUGAUUCCCCUGGCAAGGUUGGCUGUUGCUGAUGAAAAAAAACCAGACAAUGCUCUGUUAAUAUUGCCGUUAGUUGCCCCAAGCACGCCAAUAAAAAGUCUGCUUUGAAUGUGGGAACAACUAAGUUAGGUUAAGCACCAAAAGAAUAAAUAACAGAUCAACAAAAAAAUAUUAAAUACAGUGUAUAAUGUCUCCUUCAAAACAAAGGGUACCUACUUUGUAUUAUGCAGCAAACUCUUGAUUUGAAGUUAUACUAGGACUAGCAGGUCAGUUUUGAUGGACUAGCAGUUCUUCCAACAGGGCUAGUAAAAUCCUGCUGACAAUAAGUCCUGGUCUAGCUAGCUGUAACAAAAAAUUUUAACCCCUGAGCAGAUUCUUAAUUUUUGUUCUUUCGAUUUGAGACCUAAAUAAUACCAAUGCAAAUGUAAGGUAAAAGUCCAAGUCAGCCUUUUCCCGCCAAUUUUCAAAACUCAAAUACCUCGAAAAAGAGCUCCAUGACAUAUCAAUGUUUUUAGCUUAUUUUGUUCCCUAACUGGUGCUCUUUCGACAUAUAGUAUCAAUUUUAAUUUCUUGAUUUUUUAAAUUUCACCUAAGUACAUCCUUAAAUGUCAAAAA
rnacentral:lncRNA from 1 species